GGGUGCAUGAUCUAGUGGUAUGAUCUCUGUUUGCAAUGCCUCGAGCACUUCGCUUAUACAGACGGUCCCGUGUUUUAUCCGCGGUGCAUCCA